UACAGAGGGUGCAAGCGUUAAUCGGAAUUACUGGGCGUAAAGCGUGCGUAGACGGUUACAUAAGUCGGGUGUGAAAGCCCCGGGCUCAACCUGGGAAUUGCAUUCGAGACUGCGUAGCUAGGGUGCGGAAGAGGGAAGCGGAAUUUCCGGUGUAGCGGUGAAAUGCGUAGAUAUCGGAAGGAACACCAGUGGCGAAAGCGGCUUCCUGGUCCAGCACCGACGUCAGGCACGAAGCGUGGGGAGCAAACGGG
rnacentral:rRNA from 1 species